rnacentral:lncRNA from 1 species
GGGGGGUGGGUGGGUGGGAGUAAACGUUGUGCCGUUAGCUUUUUUCCGAAAUAACACCCUUCUGUAAAUAUCCGUUGCCAUAUUUAUCCAUUUGUAAUUAAAUUAUGGUAUUAACUUGCUACAGAGGAAACAAUAUUUAUAAAGAAUGUUUCUUAACUAUAAAUAUGUACAAUUGUGGGCAUAAACUGUUUCAGAUUUUUUAUUUGAAGGUUUAAGUGGUUUGAUCAUUUCUUGUGAUGUUUUGAGAGUAAUGCAUACAGAAAUAUAAUAAAAUGUGUUGAAACUG